AGUAACACGUGGUUAACCUGCCCUAAGGUGGAGAAUACUCCCGGGAAACUGGGGCUAAUGCUCCAUAGUGGAUAUGUCCUGGAAUGGUAUAUCCUCGAAAGAUCCGUCGCCUUAGGAUGGGACUGCGUCCGAUUAGGUUGUUGGCGGGGUAACGGCCCACCAAGCCAUUGAUCGGUACGGGUUGUGGGAGCAAGAUCCCGGAGAUGGAUUCUGAGACAUGAAUCCAGGCCCUACGGGGCGCAGCAGGCGCGCAAACUUUACAAUGCGAGCAAUCGUGAUAAGGAAACCCUGAGUGCCUGUCGAUGCAGGCUGUUCAUAUAUCUAAAUCAUAUGUGAAGAAAGGGCAGGGCAAGACCGGUGCCAGCCGCCGCGGUAAUACCGGCUGCUCGAGUGAUGGCCACUAUUACUGGGUUUAAAGCGUCCGUAGCUUGACUGUUAGGUCUCUUGGGAAAUCUUCACGCUCAACGUGAAGGCGUCUAAGAGAUACCGGCAGUCUUGGAACUGGGAGAGGUAAACCGUACUUCGGGGGUAGGAGUGAAAUCUUGUAAUCCUCGAGGGACGACCUAUGGCGAAGGCAGUUUACCAGAACAGCUUCGACAGUGAGGGACGAAAGCUGGGGGAGCAAACGGGAUUAGAUACCCCGGUAGUCCCAGCCGUAACAAUGUGCGUUAGGUGUGUCGGUAACCACGUGUUACUGAUGCGCCG
rnacentral:rRNA from 1 species